GUGCUUGUUUUGGCAGCACAUAUGCUAAAAUUGGAAUGAUAGAGAGAAGAUUAGCAUGGCCCCUGUGCGAGGAUGACAUGCAAAUUUGUGAAGUGUUCCAUAUUUUU